AGUGGGGAAUAUUGGACAAUGGGCGCAAGCCUGAUCCAGCCAUGCCGCGUGGGUGAAGAAGGCCUUCGGGUUGUAAAGCCCUUUUGUUGGGAAAGAAAAGCAGUCGGUUAAUACCCGAUUGUUCUGACGGUACCCAAAGAAUAAGCACCGGCUAACUUCGUGCCAGCAGCCGCGGUAAUACGAAGGGUGCAAGCGUUACUCGGAAUUACUGGGCGUAAAGCGUGCGUAGGUGGUGGUUUAAGUCUGUUGUGAAAGCCCUGGGCUCAACCUGGGAAUUGCAGUGGAUACUGGGUCACUAGAGUGUGGUAGAGGGUAGCGGAAUUCCCGGUGUAGCAGUGAAAUGCGUAGAGAUCGGGAGGAACAUCCGUGGCGAAGGCGGCUACCUGGACCAACACUGACACUGAGGCACGAAAGCGUGGGGAGCAAA
rnacentral:rRNA from 1 species